UAAAGUAUUGUGGUUGAUUUGUAGUGUAAGCUGUGUAAUGUGCAUACCAAUCAGUGUACAACCAACAAAAAUGUAAAUGCACACCAUAAUAUCAAUUGAUUUCUGUAGUGCUCAUGAAAUUGUAUUCCAUGAGACUACUAACAUUGCAUUUCUUAACACAGGAUUUGAAACUACAUUAUUUUUUGACUAUUUUCAUGGUAACAAAAAUAUUAACAAUGGAGUAAUUAGGUACUUACAUUUUACUAUAUUAUGAAGUGAGACCAUUAUACUUAUUAAUGUGUUAAUGGAAUAUUCUUCGAAAUCCUCAUUGAAAUGACUAAAACAUAUUGAAUGACUCAUUCAAAAAGACACAUUGAUCUCCAAAUUUGUUCCAAUUAAUUUGUUCCUCCCAAGGUAAUAAUUUACUUUUGUAAUGUGCACACACACCUUUUACAAUUACAAAAGACUUUUGAUCUUGCAUGGAUGUACAUGGGCUAAUCCACCACAAUAGUUAUUUUCUCAUAAGGAAAAUGUAAUCUUUACAUUGUAUGAAUAUAACUUCGUACUCCAUGCGUCUGUAACCGUGUUCGAUGGUUUUAACAGUAACAUAACUCUGAUGUGCAGUCAGAUGCGCUGCGAUGUAGCCUGGGUACUGUGAAUUUCAACGCAUUUAAAAAGUCACAAGCCUCAAAUGUGUUUCACAUUUCCCAGCCCCGUGAGUGGUAAAGACCACCCAAUGACAAUUAGUGGAGGCUUGGUCUCGCCGACCAACUGCUUUCAUAAUGGGUCUAUCCGGCAACUGUCUCUGCCUUUCCAUGUUUCCUUUUACACUAUAGUCCCGCCCCCUUCAGUGGACGUCAGCCCUCCUCCAAGCAAAACAGACACGUUUAUUAGCGGUCAGCGAAGGGGGAUAGCCAUAACGAAAAAAGACACGGCCUUUGAACGAAACAUUUGUACGAUCUUGCCUUCCUCACAUUUCAAUAAGAUGCAGUGAAAACUCAAUUGUGUAAAUGACGGUCUUCUGAGAGAGCAACGACUCAUCGACAAUGCGCAGGAUAUUUUAUAAACCGAGGAGUUGGAAUCAAAUGCAGUAGCUCCAUAAUACAGAUCUAUGUUGGGUCGUGGCAUGAAGCGGAAAGAGUUGUAAUGAGGCAGAGGGGCUCAAGAUCUAUUUGCCAGAGAAGGCUGAGGUCCAGGCUCAGGGUGGGUCUUCUUACCUGCCUCAUCUGCAGCAGUAGCAGCUGGUGCUCAGCCUGUACCUGGACAAGCUACAGCGCAGUCUAACAGGAGCAGAACUAAGCCUGCACCGCUCAGUGCUGCUGGUGAAUACCCUGAGGCAGAUUCAACAGGACAUGCAGAGGGAUUUGCCAGGUAGUCUUGACCUGUCAGCCCACUCACUCUCCCCUCACCCUGAUGCACCUACCCACACAACUGACCUCUCAGACUUGCCUUUAAAUGCUGUCCACCAUGACUCUCAGAGAUGGUAUUUGUGAGGAGGAUGGCCCACUCACCUGUCCAGGGUGUGCUGAAGGAAACACACUGGGUGUCUCCUCGCCCUCGCCGCCCCACCCUUUGUUGCCUACAUCUUCCUCACAGGACAGCUCCUCUGGGCACCCCAGAGCACAAAGCCCUUCCGCACACCUUCGCUCUUUUGAGGGCGAGAUGACAAACUCCCUGGGCUACCUCACGGACCUUGCCCUGGAUGACAUCUUUGAGGACAUUGACACCUCCAUGUACGACCCUGAUAUCCCCUCGGCCUUGGCCGGCUACCCACCCUGGGUGUGCGGGGUGUCGUCCUGGGGGGACAAGGGACGAAAGAUGUGCUCUAGUUAUACCUCAUCCAGCAGGUUACAGCAGUGUCUGACCGACCUCAAUAAUCUGGACCACAUUAUGGAGAUCCUAGUCAACUCAUGAAACAUGUUGUUCACAUCAAGGGUUCAUGACCUGGUUGUUAAGGAUUUGGACAUCAUCAGUAUUUUUGUCAUACGAUAACGGUUUUAUUAAGGUGACAGAGACUUGACGGUGUAUCUACUGAGAACACAAUGUUCAGUUUGAGGGAGUCAGCAGAAUGCAAGAAAGAAUACUUGUACCUUUAGUGCUUGUGCUAUUAUAUAAUGCCUCUUCUUGAAAUUGUACAUUAUCUUUGCAUUUAAUCAAAUUACAGCAGCCACUUUUCCCUUUUAAAAAACAGUGCCUUAAAGACGUAAAAUAAUUCUGUAGAAAUGUAGUAUUUUAGUUUCAAUGAGGAAAGUUAAGAAUAUAUCCAGUGGAGAGCUGAGCAGUGAGUGCCUUCCUCCACGUGUGAGUGUCAUGUAAAGGCUCAAUACAACCCAGGAUCAUCCUCCCUUCCUCCAUGUCCCUUUGUCUCUCUUCAGCCCCUGCACUGCAAUGGGAUGUAAUCUUAAUUCACUCUGACAUCCCACCAGUGCACUAGCUGGGAGGAGAUGAGAGAGAGAUGGAAAUAAGAGGGGGGAGGAAAAUGUAGGACUACAUAUCUUGUCAUGUAGGAUGGGCCUACUUGUGAAAAGGUGAUUGUUUUGCUCUCAGUAUUACAUUUCUAUUCAUAGACUCAACCCGCCAGCCAAUCAAAUGACAUGUGGGAGGAGUGUUCUCAUCCACCAACCCCUCAUUUUCUCUGUCUGGAAAAGAAAAUCCUGGUGGUUUAAAUGGAAGAACUGGCUCAGAUGGAGUUGUACACAUGUAAUAACCUCUCUGUUACGCUGCUUUGUGCUGAUUAGCUCCAUCAUACCCCAUUGACCAAUCACAUGAAAAAUGUCUGUGGUUUAGAGUAUUUAGGCAGUUUAACAAAACACAGAGGAACACAAUGGGGGAAAGAUAGAGAUGGAAGACACCAAUAAUGUGAUUCCAUAAUUAGUUAAAGCGCAAACAAUCCAGUUUUCCACAACACCUAUCCACAGUAAGAAGACACACCCAAUCAUUACUUAUUUUUCUAUUUGGACCAUGCACUCUAGAUGUCAAGCCAGGUUUCCACAGUGAGACUAAGGCUGCGUUUACACAGGCAGCCCAAUUCUGAUAUUUUUUUCACUAACUGGUCUUUUGACUAUUCAGAUCAAAUCUCAGAAAAAUAUCUGAUGUGAUUGGUUAAAAGACCAAUUAGUGGAAAAUAGAUCCAAAUUGGGCUGCGUGUGUAAACGCACUCUUAGAGAUGGGUAUUUUACAAAAUAUAUGGACAAAUGGGACAGUCAUACAUUUUUGUAAGCUUUUAUGUUUCUCGAGAUCAUAAUUGUUUUGAGGUGUAGCAAAAAUAGAACAAUUGGUCAUGAGAAUGACUCCUCUUAUUAGCAAGUUACAGGUCUUCCUCCAGCUCAUUCAUGUUUUGUUAGGAGGCUGAUAGUAACUUUGGCUUGUACAUCUGCUGUAUCAAAUACUACUAGUCAAUGUGUUCACUGGCUUUUAAGUGCAAUAUCAACUUUUUAGAUUUGUAAAUAAUGAUGAUAUGGAAUGAAUCAACUUGGAAAAGAUUCUGCCAUUAUCCUGGUUCAUGUAGUCAGAUGUCAGUAUUUGUUUUAUACGUACAUUUGUAACGGUCCUGACCUGUUUUAUGUUGUUUUUGUAUGUGUUUAUGGUCAGGGCGUGUGUUUUGGGUGGGCAGUCUAUGUUUUCUGUUUCUAUGUUGGUUUUGGGUUGCCUGGUAUGGCUCUUAAUUAGAGGCAGGUGUUUUGCGUUUUCCUCUAAUUGAGAGUCAUAUUUAGGUAGGGUGUUCUCACUGUUUGUUUGUGGGUGAUUGUCUCCUGUGUCGUCGAAUGUAUGUACCAUACGGGACUGUUUGGCUGUUCGUUUCGUUUUGAUGUAGUCUGUUCCUGUCCGUGAGUUUUACGUUAGUUAUGCAAGUUCAUGUUCAGGUUUUUCGUCUACGUCGUUUUUUUGUUUUGUAAAUUUGAAAGUGUUUUGUUUCGUGUUGCCAUCGUGUUCAAAUAAAAGAUGGCUUAUUUCCCGAAUGCUGCGUAUUGGUCCACUGAUCCUUCUCUCCUCUCCUCAUCUGAGGAAGAGGAGAACGACAGCCCUUACCACAUUGAAAUUAAAUUAUGUUUAAUAACAUUUUAAACUAUACAAUGCUUUGUGUCAGUGGAUGUCUUCCCAUUGCAAUUUCUGUGUUUAAUUCCGUUUUAACAUAAUCACCUGACCCACAAAUAAUGAGUAAAAGUAAUACAGAGA